rnacentral:misc_RNA from 1 species
GAUGAAGAACGCAGCGAAAUGCGAUAAGUAAUGUGAAUUGCAGAAUUCCGUGAAUCAUCGAAUCUUUGAACGCACAUUGCGCCCCCUGGUAUUCCGGGGGGCAUGCCUGUCCGAGCGUCAUUACAACCCUCAAGCUCAGCUUGGUAUUGGGCCCCGCCGACCCGGCGGGCCCUAAAGUCAGUGGCGGUGCCGUCCGGCUCCGAGCGUAGUAAUUCUUCUCGCUCUGGAGGUCCGGUCGUGUGCUCGCCAGCAACCCCCAAUUUUUUUCAGGUUGACCUCGGAUCAGGUAGGGAUACCCGCUGAACUUAAGCAUAUCAAUAAGCGGAGGA